GGGGAUUUAGCUCAGCGGCAUAAGCACCUGCCUUGUAAGCAGGCGAUCAUGAGUUUGAUUCCCGGUACCCA
rfam:Cavia porcellus supercont2_29 genomic scaffold, whole genome shotgun sequence.